rnacentral:rRNA from 1 species
UACGGAGGGUGCAAGCGUUAUCCGGAUUUACUGGGUUUAAAGGGUGCGUAGGCGGGCCUGUAAGUCAGUGGUGAAAUCUUCCCGCUUAACGGGAAAACUGCCAUUGAUACUAUAGGUCUUGAAUUCAGUUGAGGUGGGCGGAAUGUGUCGUGUAGCGGUGAAAUGCUUAGAUAUGACACAGAACACCGAUUGCGAAGGCAGCUCACUAAAGUGUAACUGACGCUGAGGCACGAAAGCGUGGGGAUCAAACAGG